ensembl:lncRNA
CAUGCUGCUGUGAUCUGAUGGAUUCUGAUCUGAGGGAAGAGCACUUCUAGACCAGAAAUGUCAUGGUGGCACUGAGCCAAGGCCCUCCUGGUGCAAGGCAAAAUGCGCAAUGAACAGCUGACAUUCCUUGCUCCUUGAAGUCUGCAAGGUACACACCAUGCUCCAGCAUAAGAAUUUCCUUCUAACCAUCAACCAAGAGCACACAUGGCACUUCACACAGCGUGUGUCAAGGCUCUGUGCUUGUACAGAUGGCAGGAGAUUGUCUCAGCUCCCAGGCAAAGAAGAAACCUACCACAGCAGAGCAGUGGCCAAAGCAAGCAUGGAAAUGACUGGAUCAGUGUCUUUGACUCUGCUUUUCUUUCUUCGUGCUCUGAUUCCAGCAGGGAUGUUUAAACAUGCCUGGCUCUGUGCACUGUCCAGUGGAAAUCCAGCUGGACUUGGAUUUCACAAUUGCCAGCAGCACUUGGGAGUAAGUGCAGUGGCUUCCUGGCUGGGCUUAUUUUGCAGUGUUGAAACACCAUUUUCAAACAUUAUCUUUUUGUUCCAGCAUUUAUAUUUCAAGCUUCUGUAACACUGGACAUAGAUUAAGAUGAGGGUUUUAUGCAGAACUGUUUCUUUGCAUUAAAAUCUGCCCAACACAAGCCAGAGAAAUGCCACGGUAAAUUCAGAGGCUCCCUACAGCCCAGGGAACCUUUAUGGCAGAGAUCUCACUGUGUCCUCAAGCUGAUAAAGAAACAAUAAAAAGUCUGGCUGAACUGUUUUGGUGAUUAAU